ACUUCGGGAAACCGGAGCUAAUACCGGAUAACAUAUUGAACCGCAUGGUUCAAUAGUGAAAGGCGGCUUUGCUGUCACUUAUAGAUGGAUCCGCGCCGUAUUAGCUAGUUGGUAAGGUAACGGCUUACCAAGGCAACGAUACGUAGCCGACCUGAGAGGGUGAUCGGCCACACUGGAACUGAGACACGGUCCAGACUCCUACGGGAGGCAGCAGUAGGGAAUCUUCCGCAAUGGGCGAAAGCCUGACGGAGCAACGCCGCGUGAGUGAUGAAGGUCUUCGGAUCGUAAAACUCUGUUAUCAGGGAAGAACAAAUGUGUAAGUAACUGUGCACAUCUUGACGGUACCUGAUCAGAAAGCCACGGCUAACUACGUGCCAGCAGCCGCGGUAAUACGUAGGUGGCAAGCGUUAUCCGGAAUUAUUGGGCGUAAAGCGCGCGUAGGCGGUUUUUUAAGUCUGAUGUGAAAGCCCACGGCUCAACCGUGGAGGGUCAUUGGAAACUGGAAAACUUGAGUGCAGAAGAGGAAAGUGGAAUUCCAUGUGUAGCGGUGAAAUGCGCAGAGAUAUGGAGGAACACCAGUGGCGAAGGCGACUUUCUGGCCUGUAACUGACGCUGAUGUGCGAAAGCGUGAGGAUCAAACAGGAUUAGAUACCCUGGUUACUCCACGCCGUAUACGAUGAGUGCUAAGUGCUAGGGAGGUUUCC
rnacentral:rRNA from 1 species